rnacentral:misc_RNA from 1 species
GAAAAUCGCGACCCGAGUCCGGCAACUCUUGUUGUGUCAUCUUCUAUCUCUCUUCUUUUUCCUCUCCGUACGGGAAUAGUCUAGGUGUCGAAAUAUCGUCGCCUCUUCGUCCUUGGUUUCUAAUCCAAUGGCCAGCCUUUCAAUACCGUUGAGAAUGGUACCAAUUUCAGCUAUUAGCAACCUUAACUCCAAGGAAUUCGAAUUAAUCCAGUUUUCCCUCUCAAAACAAGCCCGUUUCCCCCCUUAUCUCAGCACCAAUUUC